GGGGCAUUAGCUCAGCUGGGAGAGCGCCUCGUUCGCAACGAGGAGGUCGACGGUUCGAACCCGUUAUGCUCCACCA
rnacentral:tRNA from 1 species